rnacentral:lncRNA from 1 species
CUGCCUCCGUAGCUGAGGGGAUGCAUCUAAGGCUAGUAAUCAAGCGAUCUGAGUUCGCAUCCCGCAAUGGUGAAUGUACGGUUAAAAAAAACCAACACAAAUAUUAAAUAUCUUGACUUGACUUUAAUUUAAUUCUAAUUUCAAAUUAAAAAUGCUUUUUUCCUUGUGACAAAGUAAAUUGUCUGUUUUUUAGCUACAGUCGUUUAUAGAAUAAUAGAGACA